UUGGGGCUACCAUGCAAGUCGGGCGGUAGCACAGAGAGCUUGCUCUCGGGUGACGAGCGGCGGACGGGUGAGUAAUGUCUGGGAAACUGCCUGAUGGAGGGGGAUAACUACUGGAAACGGUAGCUAAUACCGCAUAACGUCGCAAGACCAAAGUGGGGGACCUUCGGGCCUCAUGCCAUCAGAUGUGCCCAGAUGGGAUUAGCUUGUAGGUGAGGUAACGGCUCACCUAGGCGACGAUCCCUAGCUGGUCUGAGAGGAUGACCAGCCACACUGGAACUGAGACACGGUCCAGACUCCUACGGGAGGCAGCAGUGGGGAAUAUUGCACAAUGGGCGCAAGCCUGAUGCAGCCAUGCCGCGUGUAUGAAGAAGGCCUUCGGGUUGUAAAGUACUUUCAGCGAGGAGGAAGGCGAUAAGGUUAAUAACCUUGUCGAUUGACGUUACUCGCAGAAGAAGCACCGGCUAACUCCGUGCCAGCAGCCGCGGUAAUACGGAGGGUGCAAGCGUUAAUCGGAAUUACUGGGCGUAAAGCGCACGCAGGCGGUCUGUUAAGUCAGAUGUGAAAUCCCCGGGCUCAACCUGGGAACUGCAUUUGAAACUGGCAGGCUUGAGUCUUGUAGAGGGGGGUAGAAUUCCAGGUGUAGCGGUGAAAUGCGUAGAGAUCUGGAGGAAUACCGGUGGCGAAGGCGGCCCCCUGGACAAAGACUGACGCUCAGGUGCGAAAGCGUGGGGAGCAAACAGGAUUAGAUACCCUGGUAGUCCACGCUGUAAACGAUGUCGACUUGGAGGUUGUUCCCUUGAGGAGUGGCUUCCGGAGCUAACGCGUUAAGUCGACCGCCUGGGGAGUACGGCCGCAAGGUUAAAACUCAAAUGAAUUGACGGGGGCCCCCACAAGCGGUGGAGCAUGUGGUUUAAUCCGAUGCAACCCGAAAAACCUUUACCUGGGUCUUGACAUCCCCGGAAUUUACAAAAAAUGCUUUAUUGCCUUCCGGGAACCGUGAAACAGGUGCUGCAUGGCUGUCCUCACCUCGUGUUGUGAAAUGUUUGGGUAAAUCCCCCAACGAAGCCAAACCCUUUUCUUUUUUUGCCACCGGUUCAGCCCGGAACUCAAAGGAAACUGCC
rnacentral:rRNA from 1 species